UUAAACAUACACGUCACGGCAGCAUGGCUUGUACGCCAAGGAGUCUAUCACGAUGGUUAUAUGAUCUAGUUUAGCCUUUCAUAAUCUUGUAUUCAGUUGUAACUAGAUUAACUCUAUCUCUACUUGCCUUGAUCUCCAAGAUGUAACUUAAACCAUAUAUGCGCUCUCCAGGUUUCGGCGCCCCUGCCUAUAACAUGCAACGCGUCCCCUCACAUUGAGGUAAGACGUUUUCCG
rnacentral:lncRNA from 1 species